UACGAAGGGGGCGAGCGUUGUUCGGAUUUACUGGGCGUAAAGGGCGCGUAGGCGGCCAGCACAAGUCAGUUGUGAAAUCUCCGGGCUUAACUCGGAAAGGUCAACUGAUACUGCGCGGCUAGAGUGCGGAAGGGGCAACUGGAAUUCUCGGUGUAGCGGUGAAAUGCGUAGAUAUCGAGAGGAACACCUGCGGCGAAGGCGGGUUGCUGGGCCGACACUGACGCUGAGGCGCGAAAGCCAGGGGAGCGAACGGG
rnacentral:rRNA from 1 species